GCCCACAUAGAUGAGGUGAAGCGGGUGCCACGUGAUACAUGACAUUAUUAAACAAACUCGGAGAUGGUACCCAAACACCACACUCUCGGCGCACAGGGGACAGCAGCUGUCUGUUCAGGAGGGGAUGCAGAGUUGUUUGUAUGCAGGACCUGGACAAGUAAGUGUCUCAAUGUCUCCACACUCGGAAUAGAACCACUCUCAAAUAUCAAGCGGGCCGUAGGUCAGAAGCGGCCCAUGACGCUCCACUGACCUCAGCGGAGGAGAGAAACUCCUACAGCAGAGAAAAGCAGCUUUCAGAAAUAUAUGUUAGAGACAAGGAUGAAUAAGUUGGUCUACAAACAAAAUACAGGAGAGAAAGAAAAAUACAAUUGCCUGGACUUCGUCAACACAGCGAAAACUCAGUGGAGUGUUCUACCUGAAUGAAGCCCAGAAGGCUUUUGAUGAGAAGCGCCGGCCUUCCAUUGUUCUCCAGCGGCUUUUUAAAGCAUCCCAACCUGCUUCCACCUCCAAGAGGCAGCUUAAUGAUUGGCCACAACAUUAUGCAAUUCAAACAUGCUAUUUUUAGCCAGUCGUGGGCUGUGUAUGCAAAUUUGCAUGGCAUAUUUCACGUGGUUGGUAACAAUAUACACAGAGAUGACAGAAUAAAUGAAUGCAUAAGCUAUAUUUGGACAGGACUAGCUUUCCCAGAGAAGAUCAGAGGCAGUUUCAAAAUGGCAGCAAAAUAAACAAUAAAUGUUGUCUCUCUGAGGCCUGAAGGUUCA
ensembl:lncRNA